rnacentral:rRNA from 1 species
GAUGAACGCUAGCUACAGGCUUAACACAUGCAAGUCGAGGGGCAGCAUGCUGAUAGCUUGCUAUCAGUGAUGGCGACCGGCGCACGGGUGAGUAACGCGUAUCCAACCUGCCUGUCACUCAGGAAUAGCCCGGUGAAAACCGGAUUAAGUCCUGAUGAUAUCAUUAGAGGGCAUCUGACGAUGAUUAAAGGUUACGGUGACGGAUGGGGAUGCGUCUGAUUAGCUUGUUGGCGGGGUAACGGCCCACCAAGGCGACGAUCAGUAGGGGUUCUGAGAGGAAGGUCCCCCCACAUUGGAACUGAGACACGGUCCAAACUCCUACGGGAGGCAGCAGUGAGGAAUAUUGGUCAAUGGGCGCAAGGCCUGAACCAGCCAAGUAGCG